GUUAAGGGUGGAGAGCAAAUUGUAUAUUUUCUAACAUGAAGGCAAAGUGUUACUUGGGUUCUAAUUCAGGGGACCAAAAUGUAAUUAAUUCUUCUUUUUUUUUUUUCACAAACCCCAUAGGCAAGGAAGGGAUGCCAAUCCUUUAUUUUAUUAAAUAGCAAAAAUUAAAAUAGGAGAGGAACAUAAAUCUUACCUCCAUUACACGAUCCAACAUAAAACUAUAGAUAAGUACUUCUUCCUUAUAUGAGAUGAUCUAAAAGACAGAAAAUCACUAGCAUCUAAAUUAACUAAUGCUAAAAUUGAACUAGGUAGUUGAGAUUGACCGAAAAGAUGUUGGCUCGACAACAUAACAGAAGCUAACCUAUUAGCUAUAGAAUUAGCCUACUGAAAAUAUGCUUGAUUGUACCCCCAACAAAUGAAAGCAAUUGACAAAUUCAGGAUAAAGUACUACAAACAGACAAACUGCACAUUGCUUGCAAAAGUAAAAGCUUUGCCUACAUCUCUAAAUCCACCUUAACAAGGGUAUUAGAAAAACCCUUAUCAAGGCAUAGCUGAAGACCAAAGAGCAAAGUGUUUGCCUCCAUAGUCUGAAUCUCCAUCUUGUCAAACUCUUUGUAAAAAGUAAAAGAAAACCUUCGCUGAAUUAACUAAGGAUCUAUUUGGGUUGCAUGUUUUACAAAACAAAAAAUAAACAUAGUGUUUCUUUAACAAAAUCUAUAAUAGCCUCCCAAAAUAAACUUCGAGAAAACAUCACAAUCCUAUAACAUUACCACCCAUUUUUUCUCUAACAGCACUCUUCAUCACUUUCUUACUCUUCUUCCACCACUGCUCGAUCUCUCCUUCUUUCCUCCACUACUGUACCCAUUUUGCACCACUACCUCUCGUCCCAUAACCCCUUCCAUCACCCACAUUCCCUAUUCCCCUACCCUUUCCUCUUCUCCCACCGCCUCCCUCUAUCUAUUCCUUCCUAUAGCUCACACACUACUUUUCAACUGAUCUAGUCACACAUAUUUGGUUGUACACGACUAGAUCUGGUGAAUUGCAAGGUAAGGGAGAAAAAAGGUAAAGAGGUAAGGAGAUAGGAAAAGAAGACUAAGGUGGGAAGGGGAGAGGUAAAGGAAAAAGGUGUUAAGAAGAGGAGAGAUGGUAGAAAGAGAGGGUUCUUAUGUGUGGUUGGGGAUAAUGGGGAAGGAAGAGGCUAUGGUGUUAAGGGAGAGGUGAAAAGAAGGAGAGAAGGGUGAUAGAAGAGAAGAAGGCGAUGGAGGUUGGUGAGUGUCAGGAUGAAGGGGAAGUGGGGAGUCAAAAAGGGAAGUGGGGAGUCAAAAAAUUAGCAGUUUUCAAGACAACAUUAAAAAUGCUUCAAUAACAUCCAAUCUAUCUUGGCUUUCACGCACAUAACAUACAACC
rnacentral:lncRNA from 1 species